UGUAAAUGCAAGUACAUUGGUAGGUUCCAAGGGAUUGUUUGUUGUUGCUACACAAAAUAAGCAGAGUACAAAGCUUCUUUUUAUAUAUUUGUACAUUUAUACAUCUAUUUAAAUGCUAUAACGCAAGUCAUUGAGAAUUUAAGACUAAAACAUUUCAUUUUUCAUUCGUGUUCUUAGAACACAUCAGACCUGUUCUUACCAAUGAAACCCCUAAAAGCAAUAUCAGCCAGCGCCCUGAAACAAGCUGAGUUUAUAAAUGUUUGUCGUACCACCCAAUGCACAGCUGUAUGUGCGGUUCUUACUUUCAGGAACUAUGAUGGCUAUUUUUGUCUCACCAAUGUCUCACUGACAUUUGAAAAUAAACGCUACAAUGCGGCCCUGUCAACAUGUUCUGGUCAAGUCUGUAGGUGUCGGCAAUGCCAAAAUACUACAUGUAUGCAGUAUGAGUGUGCAUACCAUAACAUAUUGGGUCGAAUACUGAACAACUGAGACAUAAUUCUAACACCAAGCCGUGAGGUAGAUGUGUUUUGUGGCUCCAUGAAUGGAUGGUUGAAUUUACUUUAUCAUGCAAAUACUUCAAACUCUGUAUUCAGCUUGCCUAAGAGUCCUCUGUGUCUGUUUCCUUAUCCUCCUUGUGAUUCGUCCAUCGGCCAAAAUCGUCCCUUGCGUUCUAAUACAGUCCUUCCCCAUUUACUGACACAAACGCAUGUAAACAAAAAAGUAUCAUAUCAUAUUCAUGUAACAAGGCAGUUUAUCCCUGUCAUAACAUAUAUUUCUGUUUGUUCUGUCGGCAGCAGUUAAAAUUGUGAAAGCAACUAAUCCCAGUCAUUUGCUGUUUUUACACAUGCUUUUUGUAUAUUUGCUCUGUCUUGUGUCUGAUAAAAGUAUACACAUUUUGGCAGCCUAUCCUGAAGAGAUUUGGCUCUUUAUAAACAUAGGCACAUUGCCCAUAUCAGUGGUGGAUUUCCGUCUCACAAGCACACAACAAAAUCAAGGCUCUUCAGAAUUUCAUUACUUGCAAUUUGGUGGUUGUUGUUUUUUUUCUUUGCUCACUUGGUUUUGUUAGUUUUUUUGGUUCUUGUAGUUUUCUUGAAUUUUCUUGUGUGAGAAGAAUGUUAUUUAUUUUUGUUUAUAAAAAAGGAGAAAAAAAGACAUUUACUGAACAUGCUGUGCAUCGCCAGUUUUCAUAAAUAUUUUGCAAAAAUUGAAAUUUUCCCCCCUUUUCCCGGUCAGAGGAAAGAAACUUUCACUGUAUCUUUAAAGUGCAACUGUGUAAUAAAGAGUGAAUUUCAAA
ensembl:lncRNA